rnacentral:rRNA from 1 species
GAUCAAGUUAUUACAGCACAUAGAGGAUGCCUUGGCACUGCAAGUCGAUGAAGGACGCGAUUGGCUGCGAUAAGCCUCGGGGAACUGUCAAAAUAGUUUUGAUCCGGGGAUUUCCGAAUGGGGGAACCUAUAGUGGUUAAUACCAUUAUAUCCUGCGUGUUAUGCGCAGGGUGACAACCCGCCGAACUGAAACAUCUCAGUAAGCGGAGGAAGAGAAAACAAUAGUGAUUUCGGGAGUAGUGGCGAGCGAAACCGAACCAGCCCAAACCUUAAGAUUUAUCUUGAGGGGUUGCGGGACCGCAAUGUGAGAUCAACAAGCCUAGUAGAACCACUCUGGAAAGUGUGGCCAUAGAAGGUGAAAGCCCUGUAUACGAAAGGUAAGUUGGCUCUAGCGGUAUCCCAAGUACAACGAUACACGUGGAAUUUCGUUGGAAUCCGGGAGGACCAUCUCCUAAGGCUAAAUACUCUGCAGUGACCGAUAGUGAACUAGUACCGUGAGGGAAAGGUGAAAAGAACCCAGGAAUGGGAGUGAAAUAGAAUUUGAAACUGUGUGCUUACAAGCAGUUGGAGCCUCGCUUCGGCGGGGUGACAGCAUGCCUAUUGAAGAAUGAGCCGGCGACUUACGAUUACAUGCAAGCUUAGGGUGUUGAGCCCGAGGCGCAGCGAAAGCGAGUCUGAAUAGGGCUAAUUAGUAUGUAGUUGUAGACCCGAAACCGAUAGCGAUCUAUCCUUGGGCAGGAUGAAGGCCGAUUAAACUCGGCUGGAGGUCCGAACCUAUUGAUGUUGAAAAAUCUCAG